UCAACAACGGAUCUCUUGGUUCCGGCAUCGAUGAAGAACGCAGCGAAAUGCGAUAAGUAAUGUGAAUUGCAGAAUUCCGUGAAUCAUCGAAUCUUUGAACGCACAUUGCGCCCCCUGGCAUUCCGGGGGGCAUGCCUGUUCGAGCGUCAUUU
rnacentral:rRNA from 1 species